UGGGGAAUAUUGGACAAUGGGCGAAAGCCUGAUCCAGCCAUGCCGCGUGUGUGAAGAAGGUCUUCGGAUUGUAAAGCACUUUAAGUUGGGAGGAAGGGCAGUAAGCGAAUACCUUGCUGUUUUGACGUUACCGACAGAAUAAGCACCGGCUAACUCUGUGCCAGCAGCCGCGGUAAUACAGAGGGUGCGAGCGUUAAUCGGAUUUACUGGGCGUAAAGCGUGCGUAGGCGGCUAAUUGAGUCGGAUGUGAAAUCCCCGAGCUUAACUUGGGAACUGCAUCCAAAACUGGCGAGCUAGAGUAGGGCAGAGGGUGGUGGAAUUUCCUGUGUAGCGGUGAAAUGCGUAGAUAUAGGAAGGAACACCAGUGGCGAAGGCGACCACCUGGGCUCAUACUGACACUGAGGUGCGAAAGCGUGGGGAGCAAACAGG
rnacentral:rRNA from 1 species